rnacentral:rRNA from 1 species
GACGUAGGGCGCGAGCGUUGUCCGGAUUUAUUGGGCGUAAAGCGCGCGUAGGCGGCCACUUAAGUCGGAUGUGAAAGCCCCUGGCUCAACUGGGGAAGUGCACCCGAAACUGAAUGGCUUGAAUGCAAAAGAGGGUCGCGGAAUUCCCGGUGUAGAGGUGAAAUUCGUAGAUAUCGGGAGGAACACCGGUGGCGAAGGCGGCGACCUGGGUUGACAUUGACGCUGAGGCGCGAAAGCGUGGGGAGCAAACAGG